AUGACGAGGGGCGACCAAGUGCCGACUCCUCCCCUGUCGCCUCUGCGCCGCGACCGAGGAAACCCUAGCGCCGCCGCGUCCUCGUCCCUUUCUGAUCUUUUCUCCUCGCCGUCGCCGGGGCGCGCCGCCUGGCAAAGCCUGGUCUGCAUCGGCGGCGGCGGGAUCUCUUCUCUCACGACUCGCUGGAUCUGGCGUGGGCGAUUCGCGGCGGUUUUUGGCGGCGCGGGCUUAGGAGCGACGGCAGGGCUCACGCUCGCGGUUUUUCUUGAUGUGCGUGGAAGUCUGCUCGGGGCGCGCGACGGCGGCCCUCGGCAAGCGGUGACGGGCGCUGGGCUCUCGGUGGCGCUCCGGUGUGUGCAGGCGGCGGUGGACCCUGUGUGCGGUUGGCGGCUCCGUCUCUGA
rnacentral:rRNA from 1 species